UGGAAGGAAAUGAAAGAAGUGCAGGAAGUUGAAGUCAGAUUUAUGGUUGUUUGGGCAGGAGAGAAGACAACCUGAGUCCACAGGAGAAAUGGGCAAGCUCCUGGGGGUAUCACUGUUGAUUCUGUGGCUUCAGCCAGACUGGGUGAAUAGUCAACAGAAUGCUGACCAGCAGCAAGUUAAGCAAACUCCAUCCCUGAGUGUGCAAGAACGAGAGAUUUCUAUUCUGAACUGUGACUACAAUAAUAUGUUUGAUUACUUCAUAUGGUACAAAAAAUACCCUGCCAAAAGUCUUGAGUUUGUGAUAUCAAUACGUUCCAUUGUGGAUAAAAAGGAAGAUGAAAGAUUCACAGUCUACCUCAACGAAAGUUCCAAACACCUGUCUCUGCACAUCGCAGCCUCACAGCCUGGAGAUUCAGCCUUGUACUUCUGCGCAGCGAAUGCACAGUGCUCUCCAGGCACCUGCAGCCUAUACACAAAACUGCAGCUGGGUCCAUGCCUCUUUGGGGGCUCAUACUUGGAGGCACGUACUUGCUUCCACUUAAACAGAGCAGUAAGAGAGGGUAUGCUUUAA